GUAAGUCAUCGGUUCAAAUCCGAUAAAGGGCU
rnacentral:tRNA from 2 species